GAUGAACGCUGGCGGCGUGCCUAAUACAUGCAAGUCGAGCGAACAGACGAGGAGCUUGCUCCUCUGACGUUAGCGGCGGACGGGUGAGUAACACGUGGAUAACCUACCUAUAAGACUGGGAUAACUUCGGGAAACCGGAUCUAAUACCGGAUAAUAUAUUGAACCGCAUGGUUCAAUAGUGAAAGACGGUUUUGCUGUCACUUAUAGAUGGUUCCGCGCCGCAUUAGCUAGUUGGUAAGGUAACGGCUUACCAAGGCAACGAUGCGUAGCCGACCUGAGAGGGUGAUCGGCCACACUGGAACUGAGCCACGGUCCAGACUCCUACGGGAGGCAGCAGUAGGGAAUCUUCCGCAAUGGGCGAAAGCCUGACGGAGCAACGCCGCGUGAGUGAUGAAGGUCUUCGGAUCGUAAAACUCUGUUAUUAGGGAAGAACAAAUGUGUAAGUAACUAUGCACGUCUUGACGGUACCUAAUCAGAAAGCCACGGCUAACUACGUG
rnacentral:rRNA from 1 species